rnacentral:rRNA from 1 species
UACAGAGGGUGCUAGCGUUGUUCGGAAUUACUGGGCGUAAAGGGCUCGUAGGCGGCCAACUAAGUCAGACGUGAAAUCCCUCAGCUUAACUGGGGAACUGCGUCUGAUACUGGAUGGCUUGGAUUCGGGAGAGGAAUGCGGAAUUCCAGGUGUAGCAGUGAAAUGCGUAGAGAUCCGGAGGAACACCAGUGGCGAAGGCGGCUGGCUGGACCUGACCUGACGCUGAGGCGCGAAGGCCGUGGG